CCUACGGGUGGCAGCAGUGAGGAAUAUUGGUCAAUGGACGAGAGUCUGAACCAGCCAAGUAGCGUGAAGGAUAACUGCCCUAUGGGUUGUAAACUUCUUUUAUAUGGGAAUAAAAUGUUCCACGUGUGGGAUUUUGUAUGUACCAUAUGAAUAAGGAUCGGCUAACUCCGUGCCAGCAGCCGCGGUAAUACGGAGGAUCCGAGCGUUAUCCGGAUUUAUUGGGUUUAAAGGGAGCGUAGGUGGAUUGUUAAGUCAGUUGUGAAAGUUUGCGGCUCAACCGUAAAAUUGCAGUUGAAACUGGCAGUCUUGAGUACAGUAGAGGUGGGCGGAAUUCGUGGUGUAGCGGUGAAAUGCUUAGAUAUCACGAAGAACUCCGAUUGCGAAGGCAGUUCACUGGACUGCAACUGACACUGAGGCUCGAAAGUGUGGGUAUCAAACAGGAUUAGAUACCCUAGUAGUC
rnacentral:rRNA from 1 species